GGACGUGAGGGUGGUCUGGCUGCGACCUCUGUCACCCCAACGAUCAUCAUGGUUGAUUUGGCUGAUCUGGCUGGCUGAGCAGGUGUCCCCUUCUUCCCUCACCACUCCACACGUGUCCCUCCUGAAGAUGCGCGCUGGGUGGAAGAGGACGACCUUUCCCGACAGAGGAGAGGACCGUCCUUUGGUGAAGGGUAUAUGAGCAGCUGUGCUCCCCUUCUAGAACCUCCAAACAAGCCCUCAAAUUGCUAUGACCUUACAAUUUACAAUAUGCUUUACAUAUACUAUUCUAUUUG
rfam:Loxodonta africana unplaced genomic scaffold scaffold_28, whole genome shotgun sequence.